AACAAUAUAAGUUGAUAAUAAAAAGUAAAUGAGUUGUAAUUUCAAUAUUUCAAUACAGUAGCAACUAUCUUACUAAAACAAAACAAGUCUCUAUAAUAGUAGAACACAUAUCACUAAGUAAUUAAUCCUAACAAUAUCAGUUGAUAAUAAAAAGCAUAUGAGUUGUAAUUUCAAAAUCUCAAUACAGUAGCAACUAUCUUACUAAAACAAAACAAGUCUAUAUAAUAGUAGAACACAUACCACUAAGUAAUCAAUCCUAACAAUAUCAGUUGAUAAUAAAAAGCAUAUGAGUUGUAAUUUCAAGAUCUCAAUACAGCAGCAACUCACAACUUAAUAUGCACAAACAAUAUCAAAAGUUAAAUGACAAAACUGAAACAAUCCGAAAUCAAACCGAAAACUAAAUGCGACAAACAAACUUAGAUUCUAACAUCAACACAGAAAGCACAAUCCAGAAUGUAAAAACUGACCACCGAUGGAUCUAAAACUCGGAAUUGAAUUAUAACAUAAUUGGAAACUAAAUCAAGCUAGCAAACAAACAAGAACAUAACCAAAUUGAAAUGAUACACAACUCAAAUAGGAUGAAAUUCGGAUAGAAAUAUACCGAACACUAUGCGAGUGAAACCGUCAAUGGAAGCUGCAAGUUGUUGCUGUUGUUUUGAAAUCUCCUUUAUUGUUAAGCCUGAAUCUCUUCCUGAUAAAACCUGACUGAGUUGAUUCAAAUGAUACUUAAUGUCUUU
rnacentral:lncRNA from 1 species